rnacentral:rRNA from 1 species
CCUACGGGCGGCAGCAGUGAGGAAUAUUGGUCAAUGGACGAGAGUCUGAACCAGCCAAGUAGCGUGAAGGAUGACUGCCCUAUGGGUUGUAAACUUCUUUUAUAUGGGAAUAAAAUGUUCCACGUGUGGGAUUUUGUAUGUACCAUAUGAAUAAGGAUCGGCUAACUCCGUGCCAGCAGCCGCGGUAAUACGGAGGAUCCGAGCGUUAUCCGGAUUUAUUGGGUUAAAAGGGAGCGUAGGUGGAUUGUUAAGUCAGUUGUGAAAGUUUGCGGCUCAACCGUAAAAUUGCAGUUGAAACUGGCAGUCUUGAGUACAGUAGAGGUGGGCGGAAUUCGUGGUGUAGCGGUGAAAUGCUUAGAUAUCACGAAGAACUCCGAUUGCGAAGGCAGUUCACUGGACUGCAACUGACACUGAGGCUCGAAAGUGUGGGUAUCAAACAGGAUUAGAUACCCGUGUAGUC